rnacentral:rRNA from 1 species
CAAAGGUAGCGUAAUCACUUGUCUAUUAAUUGUAGACCUGUAUGAAAGGCAAAAUGAGAGCCCAACUGUCUCUUAUAACAAAUCAAUUAAACUGAUCUUCUAGUCCAAAAGCUAGAAUAUUUACAUAAGACCAGAAGACCCUGUGAAGCUUUAACUAACCUAUUAAACCUAAUAAUAACUACUUUCGGUUGGGGCGACCUUGGAAUAAAAAAGAACUUCCAAUCAUAUGACUUCUCAUAAAAUAAGGCAAACAAGCCACACUAGACCCAGUAUUACUGAUAAUUGAAAUAAGUUACUCCAGGGAUAACAGCGCUAUCUUCUUUUAGAGCCCAUAUCAAAAAGAAGGUUUACGACCUCGAUGUUGGAUCAGGACAUCCCAGUAAUGCAACCGUUACUAAAGGUUCGUUUGUUCAACGAUUAAUAGUCCUACGUGAUCUGAGUUCAAA